GAGUAGCAGACAAACCUUGCUUUUGAGAUUCUCUUGGGGCUUGAUACUGGAACACUCAGAAAGAUCGUGAGAAGCAUACGACAGACCGAAUUUAAACAAAGUGAAAAAUCGGUUAAAGAGAAAGAGAAACAGAGAGAACGCACAUAUAAUCAAACAUCAAGAGAAAGAGCUUAUCAAAAGAGCGGGAUACAAAAAACUUUCCAAGCAAGGGGUUCGUGAAGAUCAAAUAACAACAACAAAAAUCUCUCAACGAAUCAGAAGAGGAAAGAAAUCGGGAACAACAAAACUAUUAAAAAAAAUUUUUGAACCUUUUUAAAUAAGGAAUUAACGAAUGAGGAGAAACAAUUGUUAUCAAAGGGACUUACCUUUUGCCCAAAAAUGAAUUCUAACUUGUUUGAAAUGUUACUUGAUGUAAAUAGAUUUGUAAGAAAACUUGUCCUUAAAAAAUUCUUCCUCAAUAAUCAAAACUUGAAAGCGAUAUCAUUGUGAGCCAAACGGUAUUUUUAGAAGAAGAUAUUGAUGAGCUCUGUGCAUUAAGUGAGAGGAGAGGUCUGCAGUUUAGCUUCAGAGAAGAAGUGGCAAUCAACCAAUUAGAAACACUAAUGAGUGAAUCUAAAACAGUAAUUACAGGGAUUACAGAAAAUAAAAGAGAAAUCCGAGUUUUACCCAGUACAUUUUAGAGGGAGUGCAGUAGAAGUAUUUCAGGAGGUGGCAGAAUCGGAACUCCUGGAAUUAGCACUAAAAGAUCCUGUUGGUGUGGCGAGUGGAGCUGACUUGAGGAGUGUCCAUCCGAGUGUCUUUUUCCACCUUUUAAAAAAAAAAAAAAAAAAAAAAAUGUUAAUUACAAUUUUUUCAAUGAGGUUAAUGGUGGCAGGAAAACUUCAUGGACAAUCAUGUUUAUCAUUUCUUUAACAACAUUACAAAGUUGAUUUUGAAAAAU